AGAGUUUGAUCCUGGCUCAGGAUGAACGCUAGCGGCAGGCUUAACACAUGCAAGUCGAGGGGUAUAUGUCUUCGGAUAUAGAGACCGGCGCACGGGUGCGUAACGCGUAUGCAAUCUACCUUUUACAGAGGGAUAGCCCAGAGAAAUUUGGAUUAAUACCUCAUAGUAUAGUGACUCGGCAUCGAGAUACUAUUAAAGUCACAACGGUAAAAGAUGAGCAUGCGUCCCAUUAGCUAGUUGGUAAGGUAACGGCUUACCAAGGCUACGAUGGGUAGGGGUCCUGAGAGGGAGAUCCCCCACACUGGUACUGAGACACGGACCAGACUCCUACGGGAGGCAGCAGUGAGGAAUAUUGGACAAUGGGCGCAAGCCUGAUCCAGCCAUGCCGCGUGCAGGAUGACGGUCCUAUGGAUUGUAAACUGCUUUUGUACGAGAAGAAACACUCCUACGUGUAGGAGCUUGACGGUAUCGUAAGAAUAAGGAUCGGCUAACUCCGUGCCAGCAGCCGCGGUAAUACGGAGGAUCCAAGCGUUAUCCGGAAUCAUUGGGUUUAAAGGGUCCGUAGGCGGUUUAGUAAGUCAGUGGUGAAAGCCCAUCGCUCAACGGUGGAACGGCCAUUGAUACUGCUAAACUUGAAUUAUUAGGAAGUAACUAGAAUAUGUAGUGUAGCGGUGAAAUGCUUAGAGAUUACAUGGAAUACCAAUUGCGAAGGCAGGUUACUACUAAUGGAUUGACGCUGAUGGACGAAAGCGUGGGUAGCGAACAGGAUUAGAUACCCUGGUAGUCCACGCCGUAAACGAUGGAUACUAGCUGUUGGAAGCAAUUUCAGUGGCUAAGCGAAAGUGAUAAGUAUCCCACCUGGGGAGUACGUUCGCAAGA
rnacentral:rRNA from 2 species